AAGAAACCCCGACAGGAUACUGAGAAAUAUAGACCCAGGGAUAGCAAAUGUUUGCAAGAAAACAUAUGUGGCAAAAUAAGCCACUAAUACUUGAACAUAAAACGUGUCCUUGUAUUUGGACAGGACUUUUCCCAAGGCCUUUGCAUCAUCCAUAUCUCUUGGGAUCUUUAUACAUUUUCCUUCUUCUUCGCUGAGUUGUGGGAAAUUCUUAUAUACCAGAAACAUAAGGAAAGCAGCUAUUGUGAAGAUGGACACCAAAAUCAGAAGAGACGUUCGAGCAGAUCCACCUUCUGCCUGAGCUUUUCCUUCCAGAAGCCGCUGGUGCCGGGCGCUCUCCGCCGCCGCUCGCCGCUGCGCCAUGGUUCCACGCUCCUCGCGCCCGGCGGAUCGGGCCCGGCGCAGGCCUCGCCGCCAACCAGGGAGCGGGAGGAAGAAGGCGGGCCCGGGCCGCUCCUCCUCGCCCCGCCGGGUCGCGCUCUCGCCUC
rnacentral:lncRNA from 1 species